UGAGGAAUAUUGCGCAAUGGGGGCAACCCUGACGCAGCGACGCCGCGUGAGUGAGGAAGGCCUUCGGGUCGUAAAGCUCUGUCAAAGGGAAAGAAGUGCAUGGUGGCUAAUACCUGCCAUGUUUGACGGUACCCUUAAAGGAAGCACCGGCUAACUCCGUGCCAGCAGCCGCGGUAAUACGGAGGGUGCAAGCGUUGUUCGGAAUCACUGGGCGUAAAGGGCGCGUAGGCGGUUUGAUAAGUCAGAUGUGAAAGCCCUGGGCUUAACCCAGGAAGUGCAUUUGAUACUGCCUCGCUAGAGUACGGGAGAGGAAAGUGGAAUUCCUGGUGUAGAGGUGAAAUUCGUAGAUAUCAGGAGGAACACCGGUGGCGAAGGCGACUUUCUGGCCCGAUACUGACGCUCAGGCGCGAAAGCGUGGGGAGCAAACA
rnacentral:rRNA from 1 species